ACGCUCGACACCUACGGGAGGCAGCAGUGGGGAAUAUUGCACAAUGGGGGAAACCCUGAUGCAGCGACGCCGCGUGAGCGAAGAAGUAUUUCGGUAUGUAAAGCUCUAUCAGCAGGGAAGAAACUGACGGUACCUGACUAAGAAGCACCGGCUAAAUACGUGCCAACAGCCGCGGUAAUCUGAGCGGGCUGGCAAGGC
rnacentral:rRNA from 1 species